GGGAAUGUGGCUCAGUGGUAGAGUUCUUGCCUAGGAUGCAUGAAGCCCUGGGCUCUAUUCCCCAGUACCA
rfam:Dipodomys ordii contig_59055, whole genome shotgun sequence.